rnacentral:tRNA from 1 species
GCACCCGUAGCUCAGUUGGAUAGAGCAACGGAUUUCUAAUCCGUCGGUCGCAGGUUCGAGUCCUGCCGGGUGCG